rnacentral:lncRNA from 1 species
GAGAUGAGAUUUUUGAGAACUUAGGUGAAGAAAGGCCACUUUGAUAGAAAUCCAAAUAUUCUGUUUGGCAAGAGCCCAAUGGCUUUAAAAACACUUUCAGUUUUUGAUUAGGGUCUGACUAGCCAUUGAAAUGUGGGGAAUUUUAGAUAUGGGAUGAUAAAACCAGAAAAAUUUAGGGGAAUAUAGGCAAGCAAGUUCUAAUUCUCUAUGUAGUUUGUACACCAAAACUAAUGGGAAAGUCUGACACAAAGGUCAAAAGAUAGGCUCAUAUGUUCUGAGAAGGUUUUCACUCCUCAAAAGUCAGAAAAAAUGAAAACAUUUCUAAUUUUACCUUUCUUUGAGACACAGUCUUUGUGUCUCAACUGCAUACUUCUAUAUUUUUUCAUAUAUUUUUCCUUGUCCUUUUCUGUGUUUGUACCUGCAUGGGUAUGUUUUGUAUAAUUGCAUCCAAGGUCAACCAGCUUAAACCUAAUGUCUGAGUUGACAUUAAGGAUUUACUGCUUUUGGCUUUCCUGAAGAUUUCUAUUUCUCUUUUGCUCAUAUUAAAUUUAGAGAACAAUACUUUUUUAACACUACCCACAGUUUCAUUUUUUCCAUUUUCUAAUAUUUUGUUUACAAUAAAGGCAAUUUGGAAGACUGAUUUGAAAAGAUACAUGCACCCCAAUGUUCAUUGUGGCACCAUUUACAAUAGCCAAGACAUGUAAACAACUUAAAUACCUAAAUGUCCAUUGACAGAUGAAUGGGUAAAGAGAUAUGGGGUGUGUGUGUGGGUGUGUGUGUGUGUGUGUGUGUGUGUGUGUGUAAUGGAAUACUAUUCAGCUGUAAAAAAAGAAUGAAAAUAAUGCCAUUUGCAGCAAUAUGGGUGUUAAGUGAAGUAAGUCAGACAGAGACAAAUAUCAUUGGAUAUCACUUAUAUGUGGAAUCUAAAAAAUAUAGAUUAUUUAUAUUGCCAGUUGCCUUCUGUGGUAGCCAGCCUCCAAGAUGGCCUCCAAAUACCCACCUCCUGGUGUUCGAGCCUUCAUGUAAGCCCCUGCUACCCUGUGCCAGGGUGGUCUGUGUAAGCAAUAAGAUAUAGCAUAAGUAAAGGAAUGUUAUAAAAGACUGUGACUUCCAUGGUGGCCAUGUUGUGUCUGUCAGUCUGUUUCUCUCUUGUGCGCACACACACACACACACACACACACACACACACACACACACACAGAGUUUCUCUCUCUUUCUCUCUCUUUGCUUACUUACUCUGAGGGAAACAAGGCCUGUUGUGAGCAGCCUUAGGGAGAGGCCCGGAAGGUAAGGAAAUGGAAUUUCUAGUAACAGCCAGCAAGGAACUGAGGCCUGUCAACUGUCGUGUGUGUGUGCUUGAAAUGGAUCCUGAGCCUUCAGGUAACAGCAGCCCUGGCUGACAACUUGAUUGUAAUUUCAUGAACAACUCUGAACCAGAACCCCCAGGUGAGCAGUUUCUGCAUCUUCUUCCUUAGAAACUGUCAGAUCAUAUGUGUUUAUUACUUUAAGCUGGAAAUUUGGGGGCUAAUUUGCUGUAGAGCAAUAGAUAACUAAUACAUAUACUCAACUAAUACAUAUACUCAACUAAUACACUUCUUCCUUUUUUUCUUGCUAACAGGUCUCAAAUUUCUUUCAAAGCAUCAAAGUGCUCAGGAUAAAACAAAACAAACAAACAAAAAAAACAACCAACCAACCACACAAAAGUUAUCCAAGAAGAAAGGAACCAGACUGCUGGACUUGGCCAAGAAUAAAUGGAACUAGAGUUUCAACAUCUUCCUACCCUGUAAAGUUGCAAAUCUGUAGCCUUUGAAAACUGUGAAGAUGGGAAAUGUAGCAAACUGAAUUGAACAUUUACCAACAAUUGUUUGGAGAAUUCUCCUGCGUUUUUGGGUAAGAAACUGUUUACAGCCAUGAUUAUAAGAACCCUCCUUUUUAUUCUCCUUAGUAAACUGGGGCUGCCAAAGUCUGAAGUUCUCUUAUCUGCUCAGACAUUCUUUGAUCCACCCACCUUAAACAGAACAGGAAAAAGGGUUUGUUUUGGUCUUGUUUUUAAGCAUUGUCACACCCUAAGUGGAAAAAUUUUAGAUUGUGUAUUAGACUAGACAAAUUAAAAACACCUAAAAAUAACACCUCAAAAUAUGUUUAUAAGAUAAUGUGGAAAUGAAUAAAAAAGUGAAUUCACUCUUGGGUUACAAAAAAUAACAAAAAAUUGUCUUACUGAGGAAACUCCUUUCUUAUAUUCUUGCCUUCUUCAAUUCCUUCCCUACUUUUUCACGGUCAUUUAAAAUCAUGAUUAAUCUAUUGAAAUCAACAAAAUAUAUUAAAAUCAACUUGUAACUCUUAAAAGUCUUUUAUAUUAGGACUUUAAAAAAAUUACAUCAGCUCAGUUAUUUUGAUACUAAAAUAUUCUGGGGGGGGUUAGGGGAGAUUAAGAAGUGAUCUAUAGAACCAAAGAAACUGCUUAAAAGAUAAUGAAAAUUAAAUUAAUUUCCUGCUGAGCAGUAAUCCUAAGAGAGAGCAAAACAUACCUCCCAAAGAAGUUUUUACCACAUGCCCAUUUUCCUUAGAAUAAAGUAAACUAGCAAGGGAUUCUGAACUUUUAAUCAAUUCUUUGGCAUUUUCCCAGUAUCUGGUGGUAUAUUCUUUUCCUUUUCUUUCUUUUUCCUUCCUUCCUUCCCUCCCUCCUUCCUUCCUCCUUCCUUCCUUCCUUUCCUCCUUUCUUCUUUUCUUUUCCCUUCCUUCCCUCUCUCCCUCCUUCCCUCUCUCCUUCCCUCCCUCCCUCCAUCCCUUCUUUCUUCCUCCCUCCUUUCUUUCUUUCUUUCUUUCUUUCUUUCUUUCUUUCUUUCUUCCUUCCUUCCUUCCUUCCUUCUCUUGACUGUGCCUUUGGCAUGCAGAAGUUCCAGGGCUGGGAUCAAACCCAUGCCACAACAGUGACCCAAGUGCUUACAGUGACAGCCCUGGAUCCUUAGUCUGCUGCACCACAAGGGAAAUCCCAUAAUGGUGUAUUCUUAAUAGAAGAACUAUUAAACUAUUUGGAGCUAACUAAUUAUAUUGAAAACAUGAUCAACCUUUAAUUAACAAAUGCAUAAGAAUGAAGAAAUUGAAACUGAAUAGGUGCUAGGACUUCUGAAACCUAAUUAGAAUUGAAAUGAGGCAGAAACAUAAAUCAUUGCUGCUAAGUAAGGACUCACAUUGUCUUACUUUGAAAGGUGGGAAUGAACUCUUGAUAGAAUCUUUGUUUUGUUUUUUUAAUCACUUGGGUAAAUUAAAGGACCUCCCAUGUAAAUCAUUUUUCAAUUGGCCCAAAACCCAAAUUCAAGUUCUUAUAAUGCUUGGAGAUAAUUCUUCUGACCCAAAGUAAAAGUUAGUAGAAUAGAGCAUUUUCAGGUUGUGAUGUUAGAUACAUUAAUAUGACAUUUAGGUGCUAUUUUUCAAAAAAUGUAGCUAUAAGAUUUUUCCUCUGCACUACAACUCUGUUAAAAUUUCCAGUGGAAAGGAAGCCAUGACUUAGAUUGCUAGAUGGGUUUUGGUGUCAAUCCUGAGCAGAAUCUUGGCUUUACUACAUUUUAGUUUUGUGACCAUAGGCUAUUUAACUUCAAUGAGACACAGUUUCUCAUCUAUAAAAUGGAUCUAAUAGUAACUUUUUAUGAUAUUGUGUGAGAAUUGAAUGAGAAAAUAUGUAAAUCACUUGCUUAGCAGAGGUCAUUUCCUCAUUGUCCUCUUCCAUUACUCACAGUAUUUUAAAUUUCUAACACUUAGAAUUCUCACACAGUACCAACCAAAGUACUUCCUUGGGAUUCUCUGGGGUCUUUCUUCUCUUGGGAUCUCUUAUAUCCUUCUUCCUUGGAUGUCCUUUUUCAGCCCCAUUCUUCCCUUCUUCAUCCUGUCUUCAAUGUCAGUACUAUUUAACCUUUCAUUCUGGUUUUCUGCAGACAUCCACCAUGACUUUCUUCCUCUUUUCUUCUCUGCAGUGAAAUAACUUCUUUGAUCCUUAAUGCCUUCUCAUUCUCUAAGAACAAUUCAGGUAUAUAUAUUACUUGUAAAAACAUUUUGGCAUUACAAAUACUUUUCAAGGAAAAAAAAAAUCCACUCAUGUUCUCUUUCAGUCCCUGCCAUAUGUUUACAUUUAAAAAAUUCAAUUUGUACAUAGCAAGAUGAAACUGUUUGUGAGAUGGUAUGGUGCAAUGGCUAGAACACAGGAAGCGAGAAGCCAGUUCCUGUUCUGUUCUAGUGACCCUUAGUGGGUCCAUUUACUUCUUGAGCUCUCAUUUACUUCAACUCUAAAAUGACACAGUGGGAGAAAUUCCUGAGAUCGCUUUAACUCUGAAAAUAGUCUAAGAAUUGCUAUAUUUGUAAAAUGGGAAUGUUCUCCCAAUACUGCCUAACCCAAGAGUGAGGCUGACCACAGUAUCAUUAUUCAAUUUUCUCCCUUGGUUCCUAUGCACGAGCGCAGAAAAUAAGCAAGGGAUAGAACCCUGCAGGCACAGAUAGGAGUACUUUCUGCCAAGUGGAUAAUUGCCUCUUGGCCUUCUCCCAUGGGGGCCUCUUGCUGUCUAGCUAUACUGAUGCCUUUGGGUGGUUCCAUCUCUCCUGCCUGGGUCUCCUUAUCACAGAUCUGUAACUGCCCUACAAUGACUUUGUGAAAUGGCUGGAUUAAAGCUUCAAGCUUUGCCCUGGAAGAGAACAGGUCUAUUGGUCUGUGCUGGAGACAGUCUCCACAUAUCUCUGUGUUGCAAUGAGAAGCAGAGGACGGGUCCAAUCUGCUGGGUAUGUCAGCUCUGAAGGGGUGGAGGGGAGAAGGUCAGAAACAAACACGCUUAGAAAAAUGUCCCCAUUUAUCCACUUCCUGAUUUGGUUUGUUUUCAGAGUAUUGUCAGAUGCUUCCCUUCCCCCUAAUGACAGUGAACUGAAGAGCCAGCAGGACAGAGGUUUCUGUGUUAAGACAUGAAUGUGAAGUCUUACUGUAUUUUGAGUACUUAAGGAAAAGCUAAUGGGAACUUUCCAGGGAAGAUGGUGGGUGUUAUUAACAUGGAAAUAUGUAUGAGGAUUCCUAAAUGGAGUCUUUAUAGGCUAGAGUUGGAGGCUAAUAAGACCCUGGCUGGUAGCGGGUAGGCAGGGUGUGGGACUGGGUGGGGGUGGGGAGAAAGGGUAGUGAAGAAAGCUUUCUUUUGGAAUCUGGGGACUCCGUGGGCCUGUUUAAAGGGGAGACUGAGCAACACAGAGGAGGUGCUAGAGAAACCACAAUGACUGAACAGCUAUAGGACAGGAGGGAGGCCACUGGCCAGGGCAAAAAUGAGAACCUGUGAGUGGAGGUGGAAGAUCCUAGGAGUUAUUUAUUUUAAGAAAGUGAUUCCUGAAGGGAAGGGCAACACUGGGAAGAACUUGUGAAUUGAAGGGAAAGUGGCCUCUGGGAGUCCCAGAGAGUGAUCUACAUUCAAACCUGAGCCAAGGCAAUCAGGAUAAUGGUCGGCUUGGCCCCCUCACCUCCAGGCCUCUAACUUCUGCAGCUAAGGCCACAGCUGUCCAGCCUGCCCAAAGUUCUAGAGCCAACCCUGUUUUUACAGAGAAACAAGAACUGAGAGUUCUAGUCUGUUGCCAUCGUGGGGACCCUGCUUUUUACUGCAGGGCCUACUCUGACUGGUAACUGUCCUUUUGUUUCCUUUUGACUUAGCUUCUGUUGUGGGUCCCAGGAGCUGCCUCUUUUUCUUAGAAUAAUAUUGUCCCUAUCAUAUUUAAUAACCCUACAAGAAAGGUAAUAUUAUUCCCAUUCUGCAGAUGAGAAAACUGAGGUGUAGACGGUUUGGUUUGGUUUUUCGCAGCCCCCAAAUCAUGGCUCACAGCCAGGAUUCAAUCCAGGCAGUUUAUCACCAGAGCCCAAUUUGGACACACCAGGCCGCCCUGCUUCUCCAUCCAAUCUCCACCUUGGUUAUUUGCCUGCCACUCUGAUUGUACUGAGAUGGCCUAGAUUUAUACUCUAGUCUUUCUUUUGAACAUCUUCAGCAUGCCUGCCUCCUUCAUCUUUCUUUGAUGAUACCCAGCUCUAUGGUUGGCCUGCUUCCUGGGUCUUGACUAUUUCAUGUUUACUGGUCCUUCAGCUUAUGAAGAACCCUGCUGGUGGCCGCUGAGAUCUCCUAAGAGACAUGACUGAACUUGAUUCUCUCUGACUUUGCUUACUCUUCAGUACAGUUGCGUCGUGCUGGUGUAGUCACUGCAGACAGACUGGAAGCCGAGUUUGGCUGGAUAAGAUGAACACUCAGGGUAUGAAGUUAGCUGGAAUGUGAAUCAGGCCUCAGCAGCCCCAGGUAGAAACCAGUCAUGUGGGUUUGAUGUCUAGAAGAGCUGGGAAAGGACCUCUUACCCCUUAGUGGUGAACUGGGGUCAAUUAUUGAAAUCCACAACAUGGCUUGAAGGAUUCAACCCUUCAGCUUGCACGUGACUUUCCUUGGAGCACAGUGCCCGGUGGUGCUGUAGCUCUGACUUGCUGUUUUGGUUAAGGGAGAGGUUCUCAACCUUAUUAUUCAUCACGGCCACCUGCAGAGCUCCUGAGAACUGCUGAAGCCAUCCCCAAAGUUCAGUUUUAGAUGGUAUAGGUUGACUUACAGGCAUCCACAGUUUUACACUAAAGUGCUGCAGAGGAGUGUAAUGCUAACCAUGGUUGCUAACCAUUCACACGCUGGGUGGUUCUUAGCCUGAGGGUAUCACCAGUGAAGAAGUCUCUAGUGUGGCUCUUCCUUGUGAACCCUGGAUGUUGUGGAAUAUAAAUCUGAUCAAUGAAGGAGGGCUGUGUAGGUUCCUUAAGUUGUUUAGGACCGCUAGAGGAAGCAUACCACGGAAGCAUACCACGUGCUUAAAAGAUGCUAGGAGAGAGGAUUAAGAUGGCAGAAUAGAAGGACUAGAGCUCAACUUCUCUCCUAAAAACAACAAAAUUCACAUCUAAAAGCUGAGCAAUCCCCACCCAAAUGGACCGGAAACCUUAAAAAAGAUACCCUACUCCAGAAGAAAAAGAGGAGGCCACAUCAAGAGGUAGAAGGGGUGAUUUCGUGAUAUAAACAACCCCAUACCUCCCAGGUGGGAAGCUCCACAGACUGAAAACUAACUGGUUCACAGAGAGAGACUCACCUACAGGAGUGAGAGUUCUGAGCCCCACAUCAAACCCUCAUGUGCAGAGAUCUGGCACUGGGAGAAAGAGCCUGUGGAGCAUCUGGCAUUGAAGGCCAGUGGGGCUUGUGCACAGGAGCUCCACAGGACUGGGGGAAACAGAGACCCCAUUCUUAAAAGGCACACAUGGACUUUCACAUGCACUGGAUCCCAGGGCAGAGCAAGGUCUUCAUAGGAAUCUGGGUCAAACCUGACUGCAGUUCUUGGAGGACAUCCUGGGAAAACAGGGGUGAAUGUGGCUCGUUGUGAGGGAGGGACAUUGAAAGCAAAGCUCUCUGGAAUAUUCAGCAGCCAUGCCUUUCUCUGGAGGUGGCCAUUUUGGGAAAAUCUGCCCCCACCCAUCAGUCAGCACUGAGAAGCCCCAGGGCAAACAACAACCCAGAUGGGAUCACAGCCCCGCCCCUCAGUAAACAGGCUACCUAAAGACCCCUCAGGCACACAGCUGCCUCUAAUCCCAUCCAGAACUAAGCCCCACCCACCAGAGGGAUUAGAAUCAGCUCCACCUACCAGUGGGCAGGCAUCAGCCCCUCCCAUCAAGAAGCCUACAGCAAGCCCCCCCACCAACUUCAGCUACAAGGGGGGCAGACACCAGAAGUAAGUGAAACCACAACCCUAUUAUCUGUAAAAAGGUCACCACACCAAAAACCUAUAAAAAUGAAAAGACAGAGCACUAUAACUCAGAAGAGGGAGAAAGAAAAACCCCUGAAAAUCAGCUAAGCAAGGAGGAGAUUCUCAGCCUCCAGGAAAAAGACUUUAGAUUGUUGAUGCUGAAGAUGAUGCAAGGCAUUGGAUAUAAACUGGAGGCAAAGAUGGAUAACUUACAGGAAACACUGACCAAAGAGAUACAAGAUAUACAACUUAAACAAGAAGAGAUGCAAAAUAC